GACGUAGGGCGCGAGCGUUGUCCGGAUUUAUUGGGCGUAAAGAGCUCGUAGGCGGCUUGUCGCGUCGACUGUGAAAACCCGUGGCUCAACCAUGUGGUCUGCAGUCGAUACGGGCAGGCUAGAAUUCGGUAGGGGAGACUGGAAUUCCUGGUGUAGCGGUGAAAUGCGCAGAUAUCAGGAGGAACACCGGUGGCGAAGGCGGGUCUCUGGGCCACUACUGACGCUGAGAAGCGAAAGCAUGGGGAGCGAACAGG
rnacentral:rRNA from 1 species